rnacentral:rRNA from 1 species
ACUCCGUACGGGAGGCAGCAGGUGGGGAAUAUUGCACAAUGGGCGCAAGCCUGAUGCAGCCAUGCCGCGUGUAUGAAGAAGGCCUUCGGGUUGUAAAGUACUUUCAGCAGUGAGGAAGGUGGGUAUGUUAAUAGCAUAUUCAUUUGACGUUAGCUGCAGAAGAAGCACCGGCUAACUCCGUGCCAGCAGCCGCGGUAAUACGGAGGGUGCGAGCGUUAAUCGGAAUUACUGGGCGUAAAGCGCAUGCAGGUGGUUUGUUAAGUCAGAUGUGAAAGCCCGGGGCUCAACCUCGGAAUUGCAUUUGAAACUGGCAAACUAGAGUACUGUAGAGGGGGGUAGAAUUUCAGGUGUAGCGGUGAAAUGCGUAGAGAUCUGAAGGAAUACCGGUGCGAAGGCGGCCCCCUGGACAGAUACUGACACUCAGAUGCGAAAGCGUGGGGAGCAAACAGGAUUAGAUACCCUGUAGGCUCUGC